AUUGAACGCUGGCGGCAGGCCUAACACAUGCAAGUCGAGCGAGCGGCGGACGGGUGCGUAAUGUCUGGGAAUCUGCCUGAUGGAGGGGGAUCACUACUGGAAACGGUAGCUAAUACCGCAUACCAUCAGAUGUGCCCAUAUGGGAUUAGCUAGUAGGUGGGGUAAUGGCUCACCUAGGCGACGAUCCCUAGCUGGUCUGAGAGGAUGACCAGCCACACUGGAACUGAGACACGGUCCAGACUCCUACGGGAGGCAGCAGUGGGGAAUAUUGCACAAUGGGCGCAAGCCUGAUACAGCCAUGCCGCGUGUAUGAAGAAGGCCUUCGGGUUGUAAAGCACUUUCAGCGGGGAGGCGUUACUCGCAGAAGAAGCACCGGCUAACUCCGUGCCAGCAGCCGCGGUAAUAC
rnacentral:rRNA from 1 species